rnacentral:rRNA from 1 species
CCUACGGGGGGCAGCAGUGGGGAAUAUUGCACAAUGGGGGAAACCCUGAUGCAGCAACGCCGCGUGAGUGAAGAAGUAUUUCGGUAUGUAAAGCUCUAUCAGCAGGGAAGAAGAUGACGGUACCUGAGUAAGAAGCCCCGGCUAACUACGUGCCAGCAGCCGCGGUAAUACGUAGGGGGCAAGCGUUAUCCGGAUUUACUGGGUGUAAAGGGAGCGUAGACGGUGAGACAAGUCUGAAGUGAAAGCCCGGGGCUCAACCCCGGGACUGCUCUGGAAACUGUACGGCUGGAGUGCAGGAGAGGUAAGUGGAAUUCCUGGUGUAGCGGUGAAAUGCGUAGAUAUUAGGAGGAACACCAGUGGCGAAGGCGGCUUACUGGACUGUAACUGACGUUGAGGCUCGAAAGCGUGGGGAGCAAACAGGAUUAGAUACCCGAGUAGUC